CUCUCAAGCCCCGCCACCCCCUCCCCGCGCCCAAACCCCCGUCUACCCCUAAUCCCUCCUGUCCUCUCCCUCUCACGCGCCGCCACACCGAUCCCUCCGCCGCAAUCGCAUCCGUGCUCGGCCAAAUCGGCGCCACCGCCGUCGCUGCUGCCCUCGACUGCCGCCACUCGGCCGUCGUCGCGUCCGUUGUCUCGCCGCCACCGAUGACUGAUCCCCGCCGCCGGCUCGCCCUCAACCGAUCCCCAACACUGUCGUCCAGGAUUCGCCUGAGCCCUCGACUGCUGCCACUCCGCCGUCGUCGCGUCCGUCGUCUCGCCGCCACCGAUCCCCGCGCCACCGCCGUCGCCGUCGUCGCGUCCGUCAUAUCGCCGCCACCGAUCCCCGCCGCCGGCUCGCCCUCAACCGAUCCCCAUCUCCGUCGUCGCAUCCGUCGUUGUCCAGGAUUCACGUUGCCGCCGACGCCUUCCGUCAGCUGGUCGCCGCCGACACCUUCCGCGCAGAUCUCCUCCACGCCUCCCUCAGGUCGUUGCCGGUGUGGAUCAGGACUCAGGAGGCCAGCCUCGACACACUGCGCUACACAGCCGCCGGCCUUUGCUGCUCCUGUUGCAUGGAUCUAGCGGUGGGAUUUGCAAUAGGGACGGCGAUGUGCCCUGCUCGUGCUGGUGGCGGAGGUAUGAGCAUUGGGGAAGCGGCUGACACGGCCACGUACUCCCAAAGACCGGCCGCCGACCCUGCAUCGGCGCCUCAAUGGCCAGCCCCACAGUCCCCUCCCCCCAUCUAACUGGUAAAGGUUCCUCUUCCUCAGUUUUGGCGAGUUAUUCACCUCUCCGCCUUUUCGUUCAUUUGCCAAUCCACGACUGUUUUUCAGCGUAAAAUGGUAAAGAUCAACCAAAUUCUAGGGUUGUUAGAACUCAGCCAUAAAAAUAAAAUAGAAAAGAACUAAAAAGAAAAAAAGAUGAAUAGUAGAUUGAUAAAAUUGUCCGGGGUUCUCAUCUCUGAUCAUCCGUGACCAGCAUAUAUAUAUAUAUAUAUAUAUAUAUGCCGUCGUACACAUGAAUUAACCGGUCCCACACAAAAAUAGGAAAGUUGAACCGAAAGGAAACAAACUAAUAAAACAGAAAUAAUAUCUUUAUCUUUGCAGCCACCCGCGCUAAUCAUGCCUUGUCAUCUGUGAACUGCCGCCUCAGCCGCACACCAACGCAAGCCAAUACGGCUCCUGUGCAUGAGGAGUAAUGCAGCACGCCAAAUUUCUUCUCCACUGCAUGUAUGUGAUCAAAUCAAUCCAGUAUGUACAGAAUGCACAGCAGUAACUCCUCGGUCGUAGCAGCACAUGCAUCACCAUGCCGAUCCAAACACUGCAGCUCCCCAGCAACUCGUACACCUCCAGGUGCAACACAAAUUCCUGCGCAUAUAUCAAGCUAGCUAAUUCUUAAGGAAACCACCUAACGAUUGCACCAACUAUUCUAAAUAAUCUGGCCCGCUCAAAUGAAAUCAACCAUGAGCCAAAUUAUGGCGUAAACACAUCUCCUCUGCCGACCUCCGUGCGCGGCGCUCUUGUAUCGCCGUCAGGCCGCCCGUCGUUGGCUUCAUCUUCAGCAUCCGUUCUGCUCCGCCGGCCUCACCGACGGGGCCAUGCCGUCGUCGUCGCCUCCACUGGCCGACGAUCGCGCCCCGAUGGACAGACGGAUGGCGCAGCUCGGCUCCACCUCUGGCACCGGUCUCCCCCUGCAACCCCCGACUCCUCCGUCUACAGCACCACCGUCGACCGGGGGGGACGAGCUCCCGGCGCUGCUUCUCCGCCGCCGGUCCUCGCCUACCACCUCGCCUGUCUUGCCGGCUGCCGGGACCAUCCUCCGCCGGCUCACCGGACGUUCGCCGCUCGGGAGGAGCCUGUGCGGCUUUGGCUCAAGCGCCUCAAGGGCGGCCUACGAUAUCUCCGAUAUGCUCGACGAAUUCCAGUCCACCGAGCCGGACGCAGGGAAGAAAAAGGGAGUGUUCCACAAACUUGCAACUGCACCUAGCAGGUUUCCUAUGGCUAGUAAGAUGAAGAGGAUGAGAAAGGAAUUGGCAAAGAACACAGAGGAACACAAGAAUUUCAGUUUUGUGCCAAACACUGCUUCCUUUGAGCAGCAUCGUGCAGAUCCGCGGCCUCAAUUACCUGAGUUGACUGAUGAAAGUGUCAUCAUCGGGAGGUCCGAGGACAAAAGAAACAUCAUAGCUGCAUUGCUGACAAGAGGCUCUGAAGAAAGUACCAUUAUUCUUCCUAGGCUGUGUUUAGUUCAGCGUAAAGUUUAGAUUUUGGUUAAAAUUGGAGAUGAUGUGACUGAAAAGUUGUGUGUGUAUGACAAGUUGAUGUGAUGGAAAAGGACUGAAGUUUGGAUCCAAACUUUGGAUCUAAACACAGCCCUAUUUAUGGGAUUGGAGGCAUUGGUAAAACAACGUUGGCACACAUGGUUUUUGAUGACAGCCAUUUCACAAAGUACGAUUUCCA